rnacentral:rRNA from 1 species
UGGGGAAUUUUGGACAAUGGGGGCAACCCUGAUCCAGCCAUGCCGCGUGCGGGAAGAAGGCCUUCGGGUUGUAAACCGCUUUUAGUCGGGAAGAAAAGGCAAGGGUUAACACCUCUUGUUCUUGACGGUACCGGCGGAAUAAGCACCGGCUAACUACGUGCCAGCAGCCGCGGUAAUACGUAGGGUGCGAGCGUUAAUCGGAAUUACUGGGCGUAAAGCGUGCGCAGGCGGUUUGGUAAGUCUGAUGUGAAAGCCCCGGGCUCAACCUGGGAAUGGCAUUGGAAACUGGCAUGCUCGAGUGCGGCAGAGGGGGGUGGAAUUCCGCGUGUAGCAGUGAAAUGCGUAGAGAUGCGGAGGAACACCGGUGGCGAAGGCAGCCCCCUGGGCCGACACUGACGCUCAGGCACGAAAGCGUGGGGAGCAAACA